CUCAUAACUCCUUCAUUUCUCCACCAAAUCCACUCAUUCUUUUUGCUCUAGAUCAGUCUCCUCCUCUAAACUUAUUUUGUGAAGGAAUUUCAAGGUUUAAACUCUCUUUCAGCCGUUUUAAGCUUUUGAAUCUCCCCACAUACUCUAGGGUUAAGGUAUGAGAACCAAGAAAGUGGCUUACAAAAGAUCUAGGAGGGACCGUUCUUCCGCUCCCAACGAACCAAAGUUUAAGAAUGAGGACCACAAGACACGUUAUGCACUUUUAUCAAGAAAGGGUUUGGCACCAUUCGAAGAAUAGAUUGGGAUGUCUUGAAGGUGUUAGGGUUGGAUGGCACUAUCUUGGAGAUCAUCUCCCAUGAUGGGUGGGACAAGUUAUUCUCCAUUGAAGAACCCACAUAUAAGGAGUUAACACUAGAAGUUUUGAGCACCAUCGAGGUUGCCAAGCAUUGUCCAUUUACUCACCAACCAAGUUCUAUCUCCUUUCAUGCAUUCGGGAAGAAGCAUCGGGUUACGCAAGAUCACUUGGGUGUACUCUUGGGACUUUACACCAAAGCAUACACACUCACACCCGGAUUCAAAGGCUUAUCACAAGAUUUUCCGUACCCGGAACAUUGUUCGAGUCACUUCACACUCUGGGCCCUCGUCAUGUUGCUUUUCCCCAAGUCUGGAUUGAGUUGGCACACACUUUAUCGACUGAUUGGGGAAGUUUCUUGACUCCAUUUCCUUGUAUUUAUUGCAUAUUAUAUUUCCCACCCUGUUCUGCUGACUUAUGUACAUUAGGGACAAUGUACAGCUUUAGCUAUGGGGAUGGAGUAUUUAACUUUAUUGCAUGCUUGAUUGCCUAUGAUAGCUGUGAUUUUAUUGUUAAGGACUUCCUAGCUUGGUAGAAUGAUAGUUGUGAGCUGUACUUUAUCUGUGCUUGAAUGUAGUUCUAUUUCAUCUCUAGUGCACCUAUAUACCUGUUCAUGAGCACUUUUCACCUUGUACACUCCAACCAACCCAUCAUUAUGACUUUGGCAUUAAUUUAUUAAAUUCU